AUUGAACGCUGGCGGCAUGCCUUACACAUGCAAGUCGAACGGCAGCACGGGGGCAACCCUGGUGGCGAGUGGCGAACGGGUGAGUAACAUAUCGGAACAUACCCUAGAGUGUGGGAUAACGUAGCGAAAGUUACGCUAAUACCGCAUACGAUCUAAGGAUGAAAGUGGGGGAUCUUCGGACCUCAUGCUCAUGGAGUGGCCGAUAUCUGAUUAGCUAGUUGGUGAGGUAAAGGCUCACCAAGGCGACGAUCAGUAGCUGGUUUGAGAGAACGACCAGCCACACUGGAACUGAGACACGGUCCAGACUCCUACGGAGGCAGCAGUGGGGAAUUUUGGGACAAUGGGGGCAACCCUGAUCCAGCAAUGCCGCGUGAGUGAAGAAGGCCUUCGGGUUGU
rnacentral:rRNA from 1 species